rnacentral:rRNA from 1 species
AUUGAACGCUGGCGGCAGGCCUAACACAUGCAAGUCGAACGAGUGGCGGACGGGUGAGUAAUGUCUGGGAAACUGCCCGAUGGAGGGGGAUAACUACUGGAAACGGUAGCUAAUACCGCAUACCAUCGGAUGUGCCCAGCUGGGAUUAGCUAGUAGGUGGGGUAACGGCUCACCUAGGCGACGAUCCCUAGCUGGUCUGAGAGGAUGACCAGGCACACUGGAACUGAGACACGGUCCAGACUCCGACGGGAGGCAGCAGUGGGGAAUAUUGCACAAGGGGCGAAAGCCGGAUGCAGCCAGGCCGCGUGUAUGAAGAAGGCCUUCGGGUUGUAAAGUACUGUCAGCGGGGAGGCGUUACCCGCAGAAGAAGCACCGGCUAACUCCGUGCCAGCCGCCGCGGUAAUAC